GCCUGGCUGGCUCAGUCGGUGGAGCACGUAACUCUUGGUCUCGGGAUUGUGAGUUCGAGCCCCACGUUGGGUU
rfam:Felis catus isolate Cinnamon breed Abyssinian chromosome E2, whole genome shotgun sequence.